rnacentral:rRNA from 1 species
CAGUAGCCGCGGUAAAACGGAGGGUGCAAGCGUUAAUCGGAAUUACUGGGCGUAAAGCGCACGCAGGCGGUCUGACAAGUCAGAUGUGAAAUCCCCGGGCUUAACCUGGGAACUGCAUUUGAAACUGUCAGGCUGGAGUCUUGUAGAGGGGGGUGGAAUUCCAGGUGUAGCGGUGAAAUGCGUAGAGAUCUGGAGGAAUACCGGUGGCGAAGGCGGCCCCCUGGACAAAGACUGACGCUCAGGUGCGAAAGCGUGGGGAGCAAACAGGAUUAGAGACCCCUGUAGUCCCUGUCUCUUAUAC